ensembl:lncRNA
CUUUAAGUUCCACAAUCUUAUGGACUGUACCAUCUUUAACAGGGGAGACUCAACAGAGUUGCAAAAUCUGAUCACAGAAAGUUCCAGUAGCUGCAGGUAUUUUAAGGGUAGGGUUAAAACAGACGAUUGAUAAUAAAAGAAUAACACAAAACAACCACGGUGGAGGUUUUCUAAAGCAAGUUUUAAUUGUGCAAAGUUAAAAGAACAGAGGGCUGUUUGAGUGCUGUAUCUCUCACUCCUCCACACAUAGAGUACAGUAAUUUAAAGAUGAUUUGUCACAAGCAUUUCCACAUUUCUUCUCUAGGACACACAGAAAAAGCAGCAACAUACUGUAAACCCCAAAAUGUCCAGUCCACACCCUUGCAGCACCUCAAUGUGAACCAGAGUUAUAAGAGAACACAACAAUGGAUUCUCAGUCAAAUUCAAACAGGACUAACAAGGGCAGAUUACAGUGUGACUGAUGUCUAUCUUGUUCAAUCGGAUGUUCAGCCCAGUGAUUAAAGAAUACAAGCAAUACGAGAAUGAUGCAACCUGGUUUGUUUAAAGAGGUUAGCAGAUAAGCAAGGCUGGGUUCGGGAUGCAUUUGAUGGCGAUUCUUGACUUCGGUGGAUUCCCUGCAGAGGAUGCGGAGAGGUCUGUCACUGUCUCCAACACUUGGAGAUGCUCCUGUCUCUCAUAGCAUUGUCGUUAUUGCUAAAGGUUCCAGCAGAUUUCAAGAAAAAUGUCAACCCUUCCAUCCCUUCUCUAACCCUCAGCUGGCUGGAAAGGUAUAGAAACAUGCAAAAUGUGGCUGUAGUACUACGCGCACAAUGAAUGGUGAGGUUCUUUUCUCUGUGAGCCAAAUUCUAUCACGUCUCAUUUCUGAGCCCUUAACCGGAUUAGCUUGGAGUGAAGGGCGAGAAGGAGAAAGCAGACGGCUGAAGAAUUGGAACAAGACCGAUGUCAAUCACUCGAGUGCAGGAUAGAAUCAAGGCUAUUGAAUGGAACUGAGAAAUAUCAUAAAGCAGGGUGUUUAAGAUAUACAGCUGCAUGCUUUCAAUAUACAGUACCCUAUUCAUUUUGUCUCUAUGUUGAAUAAUAUUAUGUUCUAGUUGUAAUAUAGUAUCUAUGACAUCAGUAAGGACCACAGCUGCUCCGUCAUAUAUUCCAUCAAACUCUAAAACGGGCUUCAAAAUCCCAGUUGACAUGCCAUACAAGAUAGAUUGAGGAUUGAAAAGCCUUCAGGGGAAGCAGAAUGAGGCCAUGCUUAAAAUGGGCCAUAAAAAAACCACAGAGGGACAAAUGAAAGCGGUCUUGUGGGUACAAAGAAUUAAUGAAAGCGUCUGAACUGGUUCUGGAUGGCGAGGGCUGCUUUCUCCGUCUCCGGGGCUUCCAGGUCGAUAUCGAUCUCUUCCUCCUGCUCAGGUUUUCCUGCAGAGUCAGAUGCCUUUUCUAGAACACAAUGACCAACCCAUUGUGUGAAUCAACUUAUAAGAUCACUAUUGUGAAAAAGAAGUAAACUUCAGCAUACUUUUAGUAUAGUAAGAGUACUUACUAUGGAAAUAUACUUUGAAAG